rnacentral:miRNA from 1 species
AAGCAAUGAGAGGGUGGGUCUGA